CGCGCCGGGAGCGGGGCCGGGAGCGGGGCCGGGAGCGGGGCCGGGAGCGGGGCCGGGAGCGGGGCCGGGAGCGGGGCCGCCCCAGGACAGACAGGAGAGGGGCAGCCCACGGGGCUGGGGGGGAGAGCCUGGCUCGCCGCCCCCAGGUGGGGCGAGAGCGCGCCCCAGGGCCCGCCCACCGCCGGGGUGGAAAACGCUUGUAUCUUUUUUUUUUUUUUUUUUUAAAUAUCUUUAUGUCGCCGUUGUUGUUGUUUAUCUCCCGGUGGGAUGCUGGGCCCGGGUAGAAAUGCCCUCCUCGCCGCUGGCCUCAGCCACCACCGUGCACGUGCGCUCUCUGGAAAACCCUGAUUUAAGCCAAAUGUUUUGACUCUCCGUACAACUGCACGCAAUUUGGGGGCUGUCCGGUGGUUGUAAGAGCCCAAGGGCGCCUGGCUGCCAAUUACCCAGGCUGUCUCUUCUGGAAGUAUGGCCCGGGUUAUUUUAUUUUCUUUUUUAAGCUUGCAUCAAAAUAAGUACAUGUGCUUGCAAUUUGCCAAUGGAAAGCACAGCUUUUUUAUUUAUUUAAUUUUUUUUUUUGGUCAAAUCAUUAAAUAGCUGUCAUGUUAUCAUAGGAACAGAUAUUCCUGUGAAAUGUAAAGCAGGUAAUGGCCAACUUUUUCAGCUUUCGAUGGUUUAAUGAAGAGUUUAUGGAGCACUGGGUACCUGUGUUUUCUGUACAAGGCAGAGGACAGAGUUCUUCGGUGCUAUGGAUACUGUAGUAACCUGGUAGCUAAGGGCCUGUAGCAACUCCUGUGAAGGUAAACAGAUGAUAAUUGAGGAGGGGAACACACCGGCAUCAUACUUCAUGGGUAAUGGGGAAAUUAGACCAUCUGUUACAGAAAGGCUCAGACUAUUUUUUUCUUUUUUAGACCUUAAUUUACUUUCAUAUGUUAGAGUUUGUUGAUGUGUAUUUAAUGGUGGGUGCACCUUUCUCAGUUAACAGUUGAACAGUGUGAAUUUAGUGCUAAUUACUUAGUAAUGGAAAUCUUAAUCGUCGGCUGAUUAAAACUUUAAUCUCAAAGUGGCUGAAGGAAAUCUGUCUGUACUGAUAAGGUACCUUAACUUGUUUUAGAGCCUUUCUGUAAAAAAAAAAAAAAAAACCAACAAAAAACCUAUCUUUAAGGUGUAAGACAAACAAGGUUUACACCAUUAAAGAGAAAGUACCAUUCCAUUUUAUAAUAGCUAAUUUGGACUAUGAGUCAUGACAAUUCUAUCUAUCUUCCUUUCUAAAGUUCAGUUAAAUGCAUUUACAAAAAAAUUAAAGAUGCUUUCUAAUUAAAAAUAGAGACACUAGUAUCAAUACAAAUAAACAGAAGUACAAAUAUGUGAAUCCUGUUGUUUACAUAAGGGAAUAUAUAGUCAUGCUUUUCUUCCACAGUUGAACCAUAAUGCUAACAUAUUAAAAGCACAAUAUAUGGUGUUUGCAGGAGUGUUUCGUGUUCCCCCCCAAAAAAAAGCCCAAACUUUCAUAAGAAAUGAGGUUAGUUUUCAAUAAUUGGCAUAAUAUAAAUGCUUUAUCUACAUUCUCUUGGGAAUAAACUCUGUGUUCAGGCCCAAUGAUAUAAGUUCAUUUUUAUGUAAGACUUAUAAAAGAGAAACAGAUUUUUAUUUUGUACUUAUUACUAAUCCAUAAUGUCCUCCAGAUAACUCCAGUUCCUAUGUUUGCCUUUUGUGUCAGUCCUUUAAGGUAUAAGUGGAAGGAUUUUGUUAUCAUGGUCAAGGUGACAACAAAUCUUCCUUAGCCCUUACAACUCCUAUAGAUCACUGGCCUUGUCUAUGCGACUAAGAUUUGUAACCAUGUAGUUACCUCCCUAAAGACCCACCCUGCAAAUUUCCAGGAAAGCUUAUGCUGGGAGUUUACACCUUUAACUGGAAUACUACCAGCUUAUAUUUGAAAGGGUUGAAGGAAACAUUCUCCAAUUGGUUUCUAGUAGUUGCAAAUUUGCAGGCUGAACCUCUUGGAGAUUUUAUUCUCUUUCAUUAUAUUUUCUUGGGAUUUUUGAAUUGGCCAAUAUUUUUUAAUGGUUUUGGUUUCAAUGACCUAUCCAAGAAAUAUCAAAGAUGUGUAACUAGAGCAGAUAAAAGUAUUCAUUUAUUAAUGACUCCUAUUUCAUCUUAUAUCUAAAAUUUUAUUGCUCCUUACUUUCAACUUAUAUGGAUAUAUUGUGUUAAACAGUAUCACAAUCAAUGUCUCUGUUCAACUCAAAGGAUUUAAAAUAAAUGUAGCAGUUGCAUAUUGCCCUAGAAAUAUUUAAAUAUUUUGGAGAUUAUCAAUUAGUUACUAGGCUGACAGAUAAUUUGCAAUUUAAACACUUUUUCAAGAUCACUUAUUCAGCAAUAACUGUAGUUAGUGCCUCUGGCUUUAGGCAUAUGUUGGGAUAUGCUGAAAUUCUAAAACUGAAGGAAGAAUUUUGUUGCAACCUCAGGGACAGUCAGUGCUGGAAAAGCCAAGGCCCUACAUUGCAGUUGCUGUAGUUCCACUGUGUUAGGCAGAGCUCAGGAUCAAGUAGUGUAUGUAUGGAACUACUCCAUGCAACAGUGCAGAGCUCCCUACUCUGAGAGUUUGGUCAGCCCUGUUAACAAGGGGCUGAGGCACAUUUUGGGGUACUUGUGGCCAUUAGAAGCAAUAGGCACCAGCAGUUCCUGUGCUAAAGCUUUGCCUUUCUCCUGGCAAAGGCCAAUAGCAAUGAUGGUGCAGUUCUUGCACAUUUAAUCUCAUUGAAGAUCUUUGUGGCAGGAACUUCGUGUUUACAUUUCUCUCCUAUAUGGAUGCUAAGGAUUGAUUGCUUUCUGAACUCCUUUCUUGUAUCCCUUUACCUUUUUGUUUCAGAAUUUUGUGUAAUAAUCUGUAAAAUAUUUUCCUGAAUGCAGAUUAUCUUGGUGGCAAUGUUAAGAUAACUCGAAGUAGAGUUAAAAUGAAUUUAUGUGAGUGCAGUACCUGUGUAAUCAGAUAUUUCCAAAUUAGUUAGUACCACCAGCACAGCAUGUCCACAGUGUUUAUUGUACUACAGGUGUUUAAUGGGAUAAGGACUGUACUAGGCCAUAUAGAACCUACAAAUGUAGUUUUUUCUUGUUUCACAAACUUUUCCACCUAUUGGGGUGAACGCUGAAGACAUUGUAGUUCUACUUCAAACCAAUACACUGGAAAAAUUGCUGCUGCCCAUUGUCCUGUUUUGUUGCAGCAUAGGAUUGCUUUUGUUGUAGCAUAGGAUUGUUUUGUUGAUGCAUAGGAUUGCUUUUUGUUGUCCCUACUGUCACCAUUACUCUCCAUUUCAUGCUGUCAGCUGGCGGCCCAUUACCUGAGCGCUGACUUUGGCCAGCAGUCCAUGUUUUCCCUUCAGAUUAACAGAGAGUAGUCGUUGUUUUCAACCUGUCUGAACCUAUCCUUAUCUAUGUUAGGUAUAGCUAGGACAGAGCCACUGAUCCUUCAGCAUGUCAGUCUGUGUGUCCUCACCACUGUUAAGAAAAAUCUUUAUCAGCAUGUAUGCAUUUAUGUCCUUGGCCAUGCACCAUAUUGCAUGCCUUUUAAUAUGGAGACAGCAAGCUGCUGCUGUAGAAUUAAGAAAGAAUGAAGCGUAAACUUAAAUCAGCGUUUCAAAAUAUUUUAUAUCAAGUGUAGCAUAUUCGUCCUCAAAUUAUAGUAGUAAACGUGUUCUUGAGAACUUACACAUCUGCUAAUUAAUCUGAAUGAAAAUUCAUUGAAAAUGGUUGUUCAAAAAAUUUGGCAUUGUGCAUUAGAAUCACUUUUACUUUUAAAUUAACUUGAAAAUGAGAAGGUAUGGGCUUUUCAGACUUUUUGUAUGUUUUGUGUAAUCUCAUAUAAAAAUGGAGCAAUGGUAUUUUUUGAUUGUAAGUUGAUUCUGUGGGAAAAAGAAAAUAAUCUACUUAGAGAAUUUCAAACAGAAUUAGUCUCUCUCCUAAUGAGAGGCCUCUAACGGGCAGCUACAGCUUAUAGCUUAAAUACUGAUCGAGUAAGAUAUGAUAUCCUGAUGAAAAUACACAGUUAAAUGUGAAUCUUCCUCAGACUAUGAGUUAUACACCAGUCUGUUUACCAGAUAUGUUUUCAGAUAGGAAAAGAAUGGAGUAAAUGUCACUCUUCUUGCAAAUAUCUGUGUGUUUGCACCAUUUGUACUGAGCAGGAGGAAGGGAAGUGUAAUUGAGGAAGCAAAAGGAAGAGGAAAGUUGAAGACAUGAGGGAGUGGGAUACAUCUUCAGGGCAAGGCAGAGGCCAGGAGAAAGGAAAACUGAGGAGCAUGUCCCUGCUGUUUUCCAGUGUUUGGAUGAUAAAAACCAGCUGUAUAUCAGUUCUAGGCAGCUAACGUGCUUCAGCCUGGUGUAAGUAACUUCAGUGCGCUAAUAAAUUUAGCUAUAGAAGUUAUAUGUCUCUAAUUAUCUUCAACAUCACGAUGACUUAAUUUAAACAUUGCUGACAUUCAGAAUAAAAUAAAUCUAAUCUCUGUAGAAACACACAGCUUGAGCAUUCAAAACACAUUAACUCUUCUAUCUCUUGAUAGCAUAGUAUGUUACUGUUUAAAAGAUAAAUUUAAUAUCAUUAAGAAGUAUAUAUACCAAAAUACUUUAAUAAUCAGAAUUAAUGUUUAGCACUCCAGAACAAAACUAUAGUUUUUUGACUUAUGUUUGGUAUGUAUUUCUAGAUCUUAGCUUGUUAGGGCUAAAGCUUAACUCUGUAACUCUUAGCUUUUGAGGAGCCAUAACGUAGGUUUGAAUGCUAAAUUGUUCUGCAUUUCAAAUGGGUGACUUAUGUUUAACCUUCAUGUAAUUAUUGGUCAGCAAUAAUCACAAUUUGGUAAGUUAUAUAGCAAUGGAAGUCUUGAAGAGUGUUUUUUCUUCAUUUUGGCAGAGAAGUGACUAUUGAUAUUUCCACUCUAUGCCAGGGCCAAAGAAUAAAGUUUGUUAAGGGUUGAAUAGGCCAGAUAGAUAAUGCUACUACUGUUUCCAGCAGAUGCUAAUGCAGUGUUUUAUUUUGCACAUAUAUUAAUCUUUGCUGCCUCAGUACAGAAUGGUGAGGGUAACUAUGUCAGUCCUAAAGGUUAAUUUCAUUCUUUUUUAAGGCAUGCCAUUAUUCUGUUAACCAUAAUUGCUCUUUUUUGAAUGAUUAAUUUGAUCAUAUGAACUGUUUCUAAUUAUAUUGGUGGCUGGCAAUUUCCUGUACUGAGAAAUUGUAGCUGUGAUCAUAUCCCAUUUACUCAGUAUAUAUGCCUUGAGAAAAAUGCUCACUGACAGGCAUUUUCAGAAACAUCCACUAAUUUUGAGAACUGUUUGGAGACUUUAUAUAAGAUGCCUAGCACUUGUUUUACAUUGGUGUUGAGUACGUGCAAAUGUAGUUGACAAAUGAGGGCUGAAACAACUGGAUUUGACGCAUAAGAUGAGCAGGCUUGUAAAUGCAGGCCGAACUGCUAAAUUAUCACCUGUGCUGUUUCUGCAGUGAAAACUGAAAGGAGUAGGAUGUGUUUCUUGCACAUUUUACAGUUUUCUUACACUCUUCUCAAGCUCGACAUGCUCACUCCUGUAAGCUCUAUUUGCUCGCUUCAGUUAUUGUUAAUGAAGCAGAGCGUGCGCUCUGCCAGGCAGUGCAGGGCUGUGUGAGACACUCCUGCCUGGUGAACUAGCCCUGGCAGGGAGCAGAAGGGCUGCUGGGCUGCCUGCAGGACUCACACUGUCAGCAGCUCAACCCUACACACAGCACUGAUCCCACCGUGGCAGUUCGGCUCCAGUGCCAAAUCUGCGUCCAGUUUACAUACAGCAGGAGAACAUCAGGCUGCCUCAGCUGCAUUUACAGCAGCUGAACUAAACUGUAAUUCAAAUGAAGAAUGUGCUCAGCAGAGAAGAGGUUUUGGGCCUGGCCAGCGUGUAGAACACAGCCUACAUGAAGAUUCACCCACCCUGCGUUGUCUCACGCUGAAGCUGGGCAUGGUUGUAGUACCACCGUGCUAAUAAUAGCAUCACUGCCGUGGGCACGAGUCACCCUGAGUUGAACACUCCUCCUUUUGCAACUGCUGCAGUGACUGGGCAUGUGGUGUUUGCUGAAGGGCUGAUGUGAUGUGCAUUUUCUGGGUCUGAACUGGUUCUUCAAAGCAGGAAUAAACUGUUUGCACUGGUCCAAAGGAGGUGAUAGGCACUUAAAUGGCACUCAGAAUUCAGGAGUCUAACUGAUUCAAAUCCCCAAAUUUUGUCUUGUCCCAGAAGUACUUUAUAGAACCCAGAAGAGGCACUUUUGUUUCUUACUUAAAGUACACCACUGAUAGCUUGCAGCUCACUGGGAGCUGCAAUACCAGGAUCUCAAAACUGAACAUUCUCUCUGGUGAUCCAACAUGGAGACCUUCAAAGUGCAACUAAGUGAUUUGCCACAGCAUUCCAUCUUAAAUGCACAUUCUACAUGUGUUCCUUGCUUCAUCUACACUUGCAAAACUGUAAUCCCAGUGCCUGAGGGGAGUCUGGUCUAGCCCACUGUGGACCUGCAGGAAGGAAUCGCUGCAAGCCUUUUUAUGUCCUCCCUGAUUUGCCUGUCCCCAAGGAUUUUUAUGGGCAGGCAGCCUGUAGGCCUGGUAUGGAUGUGUCCUUCACAAUACAUUAAAGAACUUUAUCAGACUUCCACUGGCUCGUUAAAAUGGGACCUGUGAUCCCUGCCACUACACACACACUGCCUCUCCAGCCCUGUAUUGCCCUUUCUGAUUGCUGCUGCCACCUCUGGGGCUGGGACAUACCUCUGUUCAUGAAUCAUCUCAGGCACUACUGCAGUUCUCAGCCUGUGUGAAAGGUAAACCAACUCCCUUCAUGAAUGGAUCACAGGUUUCUGCUUCAGUGUUUUGGGCUGGAGAGCUUCUGCUGCCCAGCUACAACUGUCUGCAUUCAUCUUCCUGGGGCCAUCCUAAGAAGUGUAAUAAGUUGUGAGGCAUGCUCUCAGAAUUUACCACUUUGCCGACUGUAUGAACAGCAAAUAGAAAUCUGAAGGGUGCUUUGGAGAUGCUUUUUACAAUGCAAUAUAAGCAUAUUGACUGGGCCUUUUCAGAAGUCUAUGGAUAUGCUCACACUGGGAUAGUUGCUGGGUCUAACUGAUUCAGGAAAGAACAUAAAGAAGUCAUUGAUUCAGUGGGAAACAUUUACCCAAGAGUCAUGUUUGAAUAGCUCAGAUCUCGGAACAGAAUUCCAUUUUGGCAAUGGCCAGUAAUCAUUUAAAAAUUUACUGUGGCUUCUGAGAAUCAAUUUCUAGGUUGGUUUAAAUAACCAGAUAUCAUAUUCUUUCAUUUCAUUUUCAUGUUGUUGUUGUUGGGGAAUUAAUUGUAUGUUAAGUUUUGAAUAAUUUUAAAGAUUUCAUUUAUGUCCCAACUAUUCUUGCCUUUUAAAAAGAAAGUCUCAAGGGCAGAGACUUAAAAGCCUUACAUGUUUUUAUGGCACCAGUAUGGGAGCCCUCAGCAUGAAGGUGUCCUAUUGAAAUUGAAAUGUUGAAAUAUAAAUGUUAAAUAAUGAUGUCUUCUGAAAGUAAGAGCCAUAGUUUUUACAAACCUUUUGCACAUUCAUGAGUAUGUGCCAGGUAGACAAGCACUCUAGAGUUUGAAAGAUGAACCCCUUUUGAACUAUAAGGAUCCCAUCUCAGUAUGAUUCCUGGGGAGAAAAUCUUGUCUUGUCCAAGUGUUUUGGAUUUAUGUAGGCCCUGUGGAGUUCACUGGUGGGUUUAUUUGGCAGGUGGGCCUUAUUAACCUGCCAGCAAGGGACUGUUUGACCUGCUUAGGUCUGUAGAGCUUGUAAAUAAAGAUUCUGUCAGGGAAGAGAGAUUCUCUUGUGCUUUGGACUAUUUAUAUCUCUUCUAACUGUGGCUGUUAAAGCUUAUAAAGAAACAGAAGGUCUGGGAUGUGAGACAGAAAGCCCUGAGGGAGUCUUACGUGUUGUAUUUGGAUUGCUGUGUUAAUAUCCUAAAAUAAACGCGGCAUGCCAGAAAGUGGGGAAUACUUUUAUUGUGAUUAUUAUUAACUCGAAGACAUAAAUUAUUGGUUAUUGAAUAGAGUAUAGCUGAGCUUGGCUGCAGAGGACAAUAAAAUAACCUCUUAAUUUAACACUAGCAGCUACUCGCAAUCAAUGGGAGACAGACAUUUAACCAGCUUCAUUUCCCUCUUUUUUCUUUAUCUUUUUCUUCGCAUUAUUCUUAUGUUUAAUAAUUACUAGUAUUAACAUUUUUUACAGCUCAGGUAACUAACAAAUACAAUAAGUUUACAACAAAUUGUAAUCAUAAUCAACCUGUGAUAGACUCAUCAUCAGUGGAAUUACUUUAAUUGGGCAGAAAUAUUAUAUUGAAAGGUAUGUUAUAUUUCAGAUUGAAAAAAAAUCUCUUCAAGAAGUCUUUUAGCCUGUCUAGUGCAGGUUUGAUGAUAGGGUCCUUUCUAAUUCUGUGACAUGUAAUUUUAAAUAAGUGUGUCUGAAUCAGUGAAAGGACUUUACAUUAUUUUAUUUAUACUACUUAUAAUGUAAGAAAAUGUUUUUCUCUUACUCAGACGCCACCAGUUUGGACUAGUUGAGCAAUCUUUUCGAGAAAGGUUUCCUUCUGCUUCAGCUGACCUACAAAGACACCCAAGUGCUACUGCAGAUCAAAUGACAGGUUCAGCGUCUGCCAGAGUUGAGGUUUUGAGUCUAUAUUCCUUGUUCAUUCACUUGAAAGUCAAUUUUGCAAUAUUUCUGCCUUCUGUCCUGAACAGACUCAAUAAAUGUUUUUUGACCUUA